rnacentral:lncRNA from 1 species
GCAGGAACUGCAUCCAUUCACCCUGACUUCAAUCAGACCAAGGCACUGCUGGGCGGUGCGGUCACCGUGAGAGGACAAGCAGGAGUAGGCCUACCCGAGAAGCAGUGGCCAACCAGAGACGCCUGCUUGGCACAACCAGAGAAGAGCAGGAAGCCAAAGAGGGCUCCCCAUUGAACCCCUCCCCGGGCGCGGCCCCUCACCCGGCACACUCACCGGCCUCUCUGCGGACCUGGGGAUAGCACACGGCAAGGGCUGGUCACCUCCCUCUUUCUAAGCCCUCUCUGAGCUUGUCCAGCCAAGAGGUCAGAAAGGAGCAAGCCCUGGAUCAGGCACGGGGUUUAGAACCCUAAACAGCUACUUUUCAUUCUCUCCAAUAAGCAAGCCGUCUAGGAGUAUUAUUGUAUACUAAAAAAUGUAUUUAUAAAUCAGCCUACUCAGAGCCAGACUUGAUGGUAAUACAGGAAGAGAAAAACUCCCAACCUGAAUGAUGUCUGGGACGAGUUCAUGUUUCCAAAAUCUUAGAAUGAAUUUUAGGAACAACGGAGGUGAAG